rnacentral:rRNA from 1 species
AUUGAACGCUGGCGGCAUGCUUUACACAUGCAAGUCGAACGGUAACAGGCCGCAAGGUGCUGACGAGUGGCGAACGGGUGAGUAAUGCAUCGGAACGUGCCCAGUCGUGGGGGAUAACUACUCGAAAGAGUAGCUAAUACCGCAUACGAUCUAUGGAUGAAAGCGGGGGACGGAAAGGCCCGGGGGGAUUGGGGCGGCCGAUGUCAGAUUAGGUAGUUGGUGGGGUAAAGGCUCACCAAGCCAACGAUCUGUAGCUGGUCUGAGAGGACGACCAGCCACACUGGGACUGAGACACGGCCCAGACUCCUACGGGAGGCAGCAGUGGGGAAUUUUGGACAAUGGGCGCAAGCCUGAUCCAGCAAUGCCGCGUGCAGGAAGAAGGCCUUCGGGUUGUAAACUGCUUUUGUACGGAACGAAACGGCUCUGGUUAAUACCCGGGGCUAAUGACGGUACCGUAAGAAUAAGCACCGGCUAACUACGUGC